UCCUAAGGGGGAGUCGACUCGCGCAUUAGCGGGAGUCGACUCGCAAAGUUGGCAGCUGAGGGGGAGUCGACUCGCACACUGUCGGGAGUCGACUCGAAGUCUACAUGCGCUAACAGAGAGUCGACUCGCGCAUAUUCUGGAGUCAACUCGAGGUCGAGUCGACUCGCGACUCAGGGGAGUCGACUCGCAGUCGGGAUCCGACUUUUUAACCCUAGGUUUGUCGUUUCGCAAACACUUUUCCUCAAGCCGCCACUGUUCACAAAGCCCUAGAGCCGACUCCUAGGUCAUCCCCGAUCGUCUCCAAGCCCUUUUCCCGUCGAUUCUUCGCCGGACAUUGAGUUUCCGUCCGUUCCUAGGUCAUUUCUGGUCCGUCCCGAGCUUCCUCUGUCGGUUCUUCACCGUCCUCUAGGUAUUUUUCUUCCCGUUUAAGUCAAGAUGCCUCGUAAGACCGUCGUUAGGAAGAGGUCCCAUCCCGAGGCCGGUCCCGAGCGACGCUCCAAGGCGCGGCACGAUCCCGCGAGGCAACCACCUCCGGAUCGGUCCCCGCCUAGGGUGGUUCUCGUUAGGCCGUUGGCCGGGAAGGCCGUCAC
rnacentral:lncRNA from 1 species